rnacentral:rRNA from 1 species
UACGUAGGGUGCAAGCGUUGCUCGGAAUCAUUGGGCGUAAAGAGCGUGUAGGUGGCUAGAUAAGUCGGAUGUGAAAUCCCUCGGCUCAACCGAGGAAGUGCAUUGGAAACUAUCUAGCUCGAGGAUGGCAGAGGAAGGUGGAAUUCCUAGUGUAGAGGUGAAAUUCGUAGAUAUUAGGAGGAAUACCGGUGGCGAAGGCGGCCUUCUGGACCAUUCCUGACACUGAGACGCGAAAGCGUGGGUAGCAAACAGG